GACGAACGCUGGCGGCGUGCUUAACACAUGCAAGUCGAACGGAAAGGCCCUGCUUUUGUGGGGUGCUCGAGUGGCGAACGGGUGAGUAACACGUGAGUAACCUGCCCUUGACUUUGGGAUAACUUCAGGAAACUGGGGCUAAUACCGGAUAGGAGCUCCUGCUGCAUGGUGGGGGUUGGAAAGGUUCGGCGGUUGGGGAUGGACUCGCGGCUUAUCAGCUUGUUGGUGGGGUAGUGGCUUACCAAGGCUUUGACGGGUAGCCGGCCUGAGAGGGUGACCGGCCACAUUGGGACGGGGAUACGGCCCGGACUCCUACGGGAGGCAGCAGUGGGGAAUAUUGCACAAUGGGCUGAAGCCUGAUGCAGCAACGCCGCGUGCGGGAUGACGGCCUUCGGGUUGUAAACCGCUUUCGCCUGUGACGAAGCGUGAGUGACGGUAAUGGGUAAAGAAGCACCGGCUAACUACGUG
rnacentral:rRNA from 1 species